AUUGAACGCUGGCGGCAGGCCUAACACAUGCAAGUCGAGCGGAUGAAGGGAGCUUGCUCCUGGAUUCAGCGGCGGACGGGUGAGUAAUGCCUAGGAAUCUGCCUGGUAGUGGGGGAUAACGUCCGGAAACGGGCGCUAAUACCGCAUACGUCCUGAGGGAGAAAGUGGGGGAUCUUCGGACCUCACGCUAUCAGAUGAGCCUAGGUCGGAUUAGCUAGCUGGUGGGGUAAAGGCCUACCAAGGCGACGAUCCGUAACUGGUCUGAGAGGAUGAUCAGUCACACUGGAACUGAGACACGGUCCAGACUCCUACGGGAGGCAGCAGUGGGGAAUAUUGGACAAAGGGCGAAAGCCUGAUCCAGCCAUGCCGCGUGUGUGAAGAAGGUCUUCGGAUUGUAAAGCACUUUAAGUUGGGAGGAAGGGCAGUAAGUUAAUACCUUGCUGUUUUGACGUUACCAACAGAAUAAGCACCGGCUAACUUCGUG
rnacentral:rRNA from 1 species